rnacentral:rRNA from 1 species
UAAUUGGAGAGUUUGAUCCUGGCUCAGAAUGAACGCUGGCGGCGUGCUUAACACAUGCAAGUCGUACGAGAACUCUUCUGCUUGCAGAAGAUAGUAAAGUGGCGCACGGGUGAGUAACGCGUGGGUAAUCUACCUCCGAAUCGGGGAUAACCCGCCGAAAGGCGAGCUAAUACCGGAUAAUAUCUUUAAAACUUCGGUUUUUAAGAUCAAAGGUGGUCUCUACAUGUAAGCUACUGUUUGGAGAUGAGCCCGCGUACCAUUAGCUUGUUGGUAGGGUAAUGGCCUACCAAGGCCGCGAUGGUUAGCUGGUCUGAGAGGAUGAUCAGCCACACUGGAACUGACACACGGUCCAGACUCCUACGGGAGGCAGCAGUGAGGAAUUUUGCGCAAUGGGGGAAACCCUGACGCAGCAACGCCGCGUGAGUGAUGAAGGCUUUCGGGUCGUAAAGCUCUGUCAAGUGGGAAGAACCUGCUCGAUGCUAAUACCAUCAAGCACUGACGGUACCACUGAAGGAAGCACCGGCUAACUCCGUGCCAGCAGCCGCGGUAAUACGGGGGGUGCAAGCGUUAUUCGGAAUUAUUGGGCGUAAAGGGCGCGUAGGCGGUCUCUAAAGUCAGAUGUGAAAGCCCGGGGCUUAACCCCGGAAGUGCAUUUGAAACGUAGGGACUUGAGUAUGGGAGAGGGAAGUGGAAUUCCUGGUGUAGCGGUGAAAUGCGUAGAUAUCAGGAGGAACACCAGUGGCGAAGGCGACUUCCUGGACCAAUACUGACGCUGAGGCGCGAAGGCGUGGGGAGCAAACAGGAUUA